rnacentral:lncRNA from 1 species
CUUUUUCAAAAUGUGGCGGUGGCAGGGAAGGUUGUCUGCUCCAGAGGCUUCCCUAGAGUGAAGAGCUCUACUAUGUAUGCUUUAUGCGGCAGAAGGAGUGCUUUGGAGGAGUUUUUAAAUUUGUUUUUUUUUUAAAUCUUAUCGGUUUUAAUUGUAGCAAUGAUUCAAGAAACGUUAGUAGGUGCCCAUAACUUCGGUGGUGGAGAUCCAAAAGUGAACAAGACAGUGUUCUGGCUGCUAAAUUCUUCUUAACUGGUUAUGCCUGGAGACCUUCACUUGGUUCUGUGCCAGCACUGCCCAUGAACUUCAUAGACUGUGAUCUUUGCUAAGGCCUAAAUGAAUGAAGUGCAGGUGCAGGACCGGAAGCAGAAGACAGAAAGUGGAGACCAGAUGUUUGAAGCUGGGUAAAGGCAGGGAUGGAGCAGGAACCGAGGAACAAACCUUGGAACUAGGUAAGUUUCCUGAGGCCUUCCCAGAAGUAGAAGCCUGCACAGUCCACAGAACUGUCCUCACCGAACUCUGCAGAUAGCACCCCUGUGUCCGCUUGGCUGUCUUUAAAGAACACUAGAGAAGAAUGACCCAGUCCUGAUGACUGGACUUGGUAGAGGACAGAUGGAAGGGCAUUUGAAUGCUCAUUGGUUGGCCCAAAGAAAAUAGAUGGCCAAUGUUUUAUGGAACAGGCACGAAGCAGUUGGUGCUUCUUGCCAUCUCUUCCUCCAAGAGAACUCCUGGUUUGCUGGUUUGGAAUAGUGAUGAUCUUAGUGCAUUUGCAUUGUUAUCAAUGAUAGUUUCAUUUGUUUUAUUUUUUAACUAAAAGUACAAUUACUUAAACAUUGAUGGUCAAAUGCACAUGUUAUGGUCACAGGCUUACGUGCAUGAUAUGCAUGAUACAUAACUGCUAGGAAAGAACGGAACAUAUGCAGAUAGGUAACCAUGUUAGUGAUGAAUUAAAGGGCUAUUUCCUUGUUAUGUUGUGUUAUAACAACUUAUGAUAAAUAUUGACAUUAUUGGGUUCAUUUUAGUGUGACUUGGUGUUGCUUUAGCAUAAAUAGGUUUAAUUUGGGCAUCGGAAAUGUAUAAAAACUUUGCCAUUUGAUAUUAAUGGUGAUUUUGUUCUUUACUUAUGAAAAUUUACAUUAGGAAAGGUUCUUUUCA